CUGGACCUCUAUAAAAAGCUGCCACCCACAAUCAGGAUGGUCUUCUGCUGUCAAUCAAGGCAAUCAGCACAUGUCUUCAGACCACAUGGUUCUGACGUGAUGACUAAUCUUGGCUGACAAUGUGGCUAUCUCUGGAAUCAAUUAAAAUGCAAGCUUCUGGA